UGCCGAUUCAGUAGCAGCAGCAUGGGUGAACUGAAUCCAUUGGAGGAGACAAGGGGGGAUGAGAAGGAGAGAAAGGGAUGUACGUGCGCAGGUUGCUGGCCCGCGGGGUGGUGAAGGAGGUGCCGGAGAGCUGCUCGGCGUAGAGCCCCAGCGGGCACACCAGCGGGCUGUUCUGCCCCACGGGGAGCGACCCCGCCACCGCCUCCGACGAGAAGCUGUUGCCCAGACCGGAGAGGUGACUCCAAUCGUCGGAGGAGGAGGAGACGGGCGGGGCAAGGCUCCUGCUGCUGGCUUCGCUGCAAAUGGACUCUCUUCAGAGUUACAGUCUUGUCUGCUUGCUACUACUUAUGUCUAUCCACAUAUCAUCUGGAUCUCGACUUGUCAGCUGGCUGUUGCUUCUCCAGCAUCCCUUCCUUUUUGACUGCAAUAAAUAAAAUCCUAGAAUUAUAUAUUACGGUAUGUAUAUGGCUUGGGAUUUUGCAAGAAGAUAGAGCUAAAUCAAUUCCUCA